GGGGUGCUAGCUCAGCUGGGAGAGCGCCGGCUUUGCAAGCCGGAUGUCACGGGUUCGAAUCCCGUGCACUCCA
rnacentral:tRNA from 1 species